GCUCUGCCCAGGGCUCCCGGGACCCAGGGGAGACGCUGCCCCGGAAGCUGA
rfam:Pteropus alecto contig100736, whole genome shotgun sequence.